rnacentral:lncRNA from 1 species
UAAAUACUGAGUGUGCUCCAGCAGGGGACUUCUUGAACCAAUAAUGGAGGAGGCCCCAAGCAGGAAGAAGGGGCAAAAAUAUUUGUGCAAAUAGUGACAGCCAUAAAUUACUGACAUAGCCUUGACUUGGUCUGUGCAGACAUAAACACCAGAAUAUCCUCAGCGAGUCAGAGGUUGAUGAGAAAUAGACAGAGAUGACCUGAACCUCAAUGCAGACUUUGCAUCUUCCUGAAAAGGCAGCAUGGGUCCAAGGGAAUAAUGCUGUAGACCUCACACUAGAUGAGCCAUUUGAUGGCAGAAGAACAGAUGUGGGCAGUCUGGGCAUGCUACUUUAUUUUAUCACCACAUGUUCCCACACAUUCAUAGUAAACACCAUGGAAAAGACAAAUACUGUCACAGGGACCUAUGACAUUGCAACUCACUUCUCUUGGUAAAUUGAAAUCUAAAUCCCCAGACACUCACAUUUUCCCCAAAGUUGAGUUCCUCCAUAGAAAACAUGGAGGGACAUUCCCAGGUAAUGAAAUGUGAAGUUAAUAUGUAGACUGUGACUUCUCCAGAUUCUAACAUUAUGGACAGGCUUUGAAUCAUGGAGUUUCAUGUCAAGUAACUGGAAUCCCCCAAAAAAGUAAAUGGAAAAGAUGGGGCCCUAACUACUCUAGAAGAACAGACACAAGAUGUGAGCAUGGAUCUAAGACUUCAUCCAAGCCUGUGGAUCCAG